UAACUUUACAGUGCAGUGUACCCAUUUUAAUUCCAGUGUAAUUUAAGUGGAUUUUUCAGUGUAAUUUGAUUGUAGUUUCAGUGUAAUUUUAUGUUCCGUUUACAGGUUUAAAUGGGUAGGCUACGGAAAGUGUCUCAUCAGGAUGUUCCAUUAGUAUCAUCUUUAGAGAGUGCAGAUUCAGUGGAUGAAGCUUUCGUGCCUAAUGAUUUUGCAGAAGAUGGUUCUCAUCCCGUGUCUCCGGAUCUAUCUCGAGAUGAAGGAGAGUUCGACAAGGCUCUUUUGAAGUUCUAUCUCAAUCAGGAAUCUUUCAAUGUCUUCUUCAUCGAGGAAUUCAUCGUCUCCUUCUUGUUCAAAUUCAUGUUGUAGAACAGAUUUGUGUCCCAGGGAUCGGAUUCUCCUCCCCCAUCUUCGCUCGCUGGCAUUUCGUGAUGCAAGUCUGCUUCCAGUGUCUGCAAGGUGAAGGAAAUUCCUUCAGUUUUUGUUCAUGCAAGAGGUGAAGGGAGAUGAUGGCGAGGAGUUGGUGUGUUUUGCUGACAUGCGGAUUGUGUUGUUGAUCUCCCUGCUGCUCCUCAUUAGGGAGAUGCUCCUCUCCCAAUUUUGUGUUUGCUCUUCUUUCUUCUCCCCCUCCCGGCUGUGCCAUGGCCACCUCUCCCUUUCCCAUGGGCGCCUUCCAGAUCUGUUAGGUGAGGGGGAGGGGUGUGUAUUUGUGGAGGUGAGAUCUGUUUCCAGUGCUUGAGGGGGAGGGGGGUUUGGCCUUUGCGUGGGUUGCAAGUUGGUUGUGGUCCCUGAUGAGGAGGGGGUUUGUUGGUCCAGGUCGAACGGGCGAGAUGUUUACCCGACCCGUUUAGAGGUUCGUUUUUUGCUUUCUCGUGAUUUUCCUGCUAGUACAGGUGUAAUGUGUUGAUUGGUC
rnacentral:rRNA from 1 species